GAGAAUCGCAGGAGCACCUGUUAUGGGAGGAUGACCCGUUUCCAAGUCAAGACACCAAAAGUAAUAACCUUCCCACAGACAAGUAGUUAGCAAAUAUAAUUGCAGAAAACCUCCGAUCUGUAAGGAAAGCAACCACAAAGACGUACAAUACCCUAGGACUAGGCCUGAGGAGUCUGCACAGGAGCUGUCUGAGGAGAGCGGUGGACGUGACUGAAGGCACAGCAGGGGCGCCUUGCCCACGAAGGUGUCAGGAAGCCAAGGAGACCUAUGGGCUCUGCUGCUGGAAGAUUCAAUGACAAAGCCUGGUGGACAUUGUGGAAAUUUUCAUGAUGAUGCAGUCAUAGAUUAACUAAACCUCAUUAAGAUCCAAGACACUUCGGGCCGGGCGCGGUGGCUCACUCCUGUAAUCCCAGCACUUUGGGAGGCCGAGGCAGGCGGAUCACGAGGUCAGGAGUUCGAGACCAGCCGGGCCAACGUGGCAAAACCCUGUCUCUACUAAAAAUAAAAAAAAUGUGGCGGGCACCUGCAAUCCCAGCUACUCGGGAGGCUGAGGCAGGAGAAUCGCUUGAACUCGAGAGGCAAAGGUUGCGGUGAGCCAAGAUCGUGCCAUUGCACCCCAGCCUGGGUGACAAGAGCAAGACUCCGUCUCAAAAAAAAAAAGAUCCAAGACACUUUGGAUCAUGACACUGUUGAGCUGAACAUAAAAAUGCAGGAGAUGUGUCAUAUUCGGUGGCUUAUGUGGCCUGAUCAUUGCAAAGUUUCUCAAAAAUUAUUUUUUGAUUCAACCAUGACCAAAAAGGCGCUGCUGCAAUCUUGAACGUCCAGGCCAGACAGAGAAGCAGAAGGCUAAGUUCUGGCGUGGCUUGUCCACUUACCACCGAAUGAACUUGAGCAAAGCCUGUGGCUUCUGUAAAACGUCAAUAAUGACAGCUCCUCUGUGGGAAUAAAUAUUAUUAUGAUUAUACAAA